CCUGCGCAGUGAGACGCGCAGGGCAGCGGGGAGUGACCGGGUGUGGGGGAAGGGAAGUGAGGGAGGGGACGUCCAGGUGUCUGGAGUCACCGGCGCUCUGCUUUAUAGGGGUGAUUUGAUUGUUUCCACUUAUUUGCUGUUACAUCAAAUGCCUACAGGAGUUAUCCACUUGUGAAUGUGAAGAAAAAUAUCUUUACCAAGAGCUUGUGCAUCUUCAACUUUACCAGGAGAACUCGGCCGCCUUCCAGCCCCGGCCGCCAAGAAUCUUCUGGUCUUUAGAAGGCGCUGGCUUGCCCCACGCCUGUCCUCUCCCGGGCUCAGUUUCCCUCCCCUAACCGUACCGGGCCUCCUCGCCUGCUCCCUCUAGCUCCCGCCCUGCCGUCGGAAGAGUUCGAGCGCCUUCCCAGAGAAUCCGCAAGCCGGCCGGCCGGCCUCUUCUGGGAGGAUCUGGCUGCUUCCUUUGAAGUUUUGAGGGUGGGGUCGGAGCGCCUUCGUUAGCCUUGAAUCUCCCCUCCCCCGACGGACCUCUCCUUAGGGCUGCCUGUCUUCAGAGGCUUUGCCAGGCCCCUCUCAGAAUCCGCCCAGGUGAAGGGGACGGCUUCGGAGGUGAUAGUAAACUUGCCAGGCCUCCCCUCCUUUUGAGCUUGGAAUGGCUGUUUGCUUCCUUUAAAAUAAUAAGCUGUAAGCCCUUUAGGAACACUUGUGAAACGUGGGAAUUUAAUUUCCACCUUUUCUUAAUUAACAAUAGUGCCUUGCUCCUCCUUCUCCCAGAAGCAGGAAAACUUGAAAUCUCAAUUUAUAGGCAAACAGGUUAGAACAUGUGAAUUUCUCGGAGUUGGAGAAGUUGCAGUGUUAAGUUUUCUCUAAGAAGCCAUCUCUGACACGGUUGAGACUCCUCCUCCUCUGCAGAAAGGGGUUGGAAACUGAGGUGCUUGUGUACAUUAGCUGAGCUGAACAAAAAUCCUCCCAGUUAUUAGCAGGGUGUGCUUUCCAUUUCUGCUGAGAACUGACCUGUCUGUCGGGGUUAAAUAAAAUGAUGCCUGAGCACUUAGCACAGUGCCUGACUCAUAGUCAACACUCAGCAAAUAUUAGCUGCUGUUAUAUCACAAGAUGCAGUUGGAGUUAAAAUAUAGUUUGGCUGCUGCUAGAGAUGAAAGAUCUUAUUCGGGGUAAAAACUAAAUGACUGAUUGUUUUAAAUAAAUGUGAAAAAACUUAAAGCCUAAUUACUUUGUGAUGAUCCUACAGAUUCAGUUU